GGGAAGUUUGCGGAGGGGAGCGGCGGUCCCCCCGGCCGGCCCAGCCCGGCGGGCUGGAGCGGGAGGCCGGUGCCCCGGUCGGCGCACGGCCACGCAGCCUGUAGUUUGCGUAUCUCUAAUGACUACCACCCCCCGCGCACGCUGUAAUUUUCUUUCAGACGCGUGAGGUGCUGCGGAUAUCAGGCAUAUUUAGGCGAGAUGGAGCCGGCUGAACCGUGGAUGUUACCCCAAGUGUCUUGGCACUCACUAGAAGCGCUUUCCCAACAUUUGCCCUUUUCCGGUGCCAGAGCCCAGGAGCUGCAUGGCACCUGUCCGGGCAGGCCAUGUGUACCCCGCACCUGAACUGCCAACAUUAAAACGCAUCUCUUAACAAGCCACCGGUGUACAGGUACUGCAUGCAAACACACUGCAAUUCCUUAAAGAAUUUCAGCAAACUAUUAAAAAAAAACCAACCAAGCCCACCUGCCUUCCCCAGAGUUCUUGCAAGCACAAAAAAGGGCCUACAUUCACUGAAUAAAUUAUGCAUUGCAAGUUCUUCAUCCAGCUCCUCUUGGUACCUCCAGAGCGAGUGCUGGUACUUACAGAGCCAUUGCUGCAGCCUGGUGCUGCCAGCAUGGGCACUAAGCAGUUAAGAAAUGGAUGUUUCUGCCAGGAAAAUAAUUUUAACCAUUUGUAAAUUACAGAAAAAGAAGGGAAAAAUGUACUGUUUCAUUGGUUUUAUAUGUAAGUAAAUGAAGGAUUUAUGUGCAGACUGAAGUUUUAUUUCCUUCUGCUCCAAACUGAAUUCAAGCUCAGGGUGCUCAACACUACGGAAUUACCCAAGGGAAAGCACUGCAGGAACCUUUUCCCAGGAGCAAGAAGACAAGGUGGAUUUGAGCAGUGGGGUUUGGCAAGGACCAGCAGCCUCGUGGCUAAUGCUCCAUCAAGUGAGACUGACUGGUACAGGCAGGAAUCCAGAUUGCUGAUCUCCAAUUAUGCCGACUCCCAGAGGGCUCGAUCCGUCACAGAUGCAAGUCAACAACGCAGCUCUGCAUUUGAUAGGAUGCUGCCAGAUGAGAAACAGCAGUGCCCAGGAAAAAGAAAACACACAGGAUCCUCAUUGUCUCGAUAUUGGGACUCUGACAGGACACAGACAGAGAGCUCUGAAAUCUGGGUCUGA
rnacentral:lncRNA from 13 species